GAAAAAAAAAUAAACCUUUAAUUAGUUUCUAUAAAAUUAAUUUAGAAUGGAAAACAAAUUAAAUAAAUAAGUAGUAUUAUUCCUUGUUUAAUUAAUCACCUAUCAUCAAAGUUGGUUGUGGCAGCAAAAUUAACCACCACAUCAAUUUCUCUCCACAUCUCAUCCCUCAAGUAGGAUUCUUUCACUCCUAAAUCUUCAUAAGAGAUGUCACCAGCAACAGCAGUAACCUUUUCUGAUACAAAGGAAGAUAGGCUUUCACCAUAUUUCUCCCUUAGAACUUUAAACAGUUCCUUCCUUAUGACCUCCUUAUUUAGGCGUUCCAAAGCAGAGUUAGCACCAGAAGCUCUUAAAAGAAGAUAAAGC
rnacentral:misc_RNA from 1 species